UUAUUUGAUGUCGUGAUCGAAUGAGAAUGGAGAGUGACAGUGCAAUAGUGAGGAAUUUUCUACAAUGGGCGAAAGCCUGAUGGAGCAAUGUUGCGUUGAGGUAGAAGGUCUACUGGUCAUGAACUUCUUUCCUCAGAGAAGAAGCAACGACGGUAUCAGGGAAUAAGAAUCGACUAACUCUGUGCUAGCAACCGUGGUAUGCUAGCAUCUUUAGAUGGCUUUUUAAGUUCACCGUCAAAUCCCAGAGCUCAACUCUGGACAGACGAUGGAAACUACCAAGCUUGAGUAGGGUAGGGGCAAAGGGAAUUUCCAGUGGAAUGAUGAAAUACUUAAAGGUUGGAAAGAAUACUAACGGGCGAAAACACUCUGUUGGGCCGAGACUGACUUUGAUUAUCCACAAAUAAACUAAUAUACUUUUUGGUCAAUAAUUAUUAGUUAUAAUGUCUACUACUAAUAAGACGUUAGAACCACAUUAAAACAAAAAAAAAUGAAGGAUUAAUUCUGGA